UACGAAGGGGGCUAGCGUUGCUCGGAAUCACUGGGCGUAAAGCGCACGUAGGCGGGUUGUUAAGUCGGGGGUGAAAUCCUGGAGCUCAACUCCAGAACUGCCUUCGAUACUGGCGACCUUGAGUCCGGGAGAGGUGAGUGGAACUCCGAGUGUAGAGGUGAAAUGCGUAGAUAUCUGGAGGAACACCGGUGGCGAAGGCGGCAUCCUGGACCGGUAUUGACGCUGAGGUGCGAAAGCGUGGGGAGCAAACAGG
rnacentral:rRNA from 1 species